rnacentral:rRNA from 1 species
AGUUUGAUCAUGGCUCAGAUUGAACGCUGGCGGCAGGCCUAACACAUGCAAGUCGAACGGUAACAGGAAGCAGCUUGCUGCUUUGCUGACGAGUGGCGGACGGGUGAGUAAUGUCUGGGAAACUGCCUGAUGGAGGGGGAUAACUACUGGAAACGGUAGCUAAUACCGCAUAACGUCGCAAGCACAAAGAGGGGGACCUUAGGGCCUCUUGCCAUCGGAUGUGCCCAGAUGGGAUUAGCUAGUAGGUGGGGUAACGGCUCACCUAGGCGACGAUCCCUAGCUGGUCUGAGAGGAUGACCAGCAACACUGGAACUGAGACACGGUCCAGACUCCUACGCGAGGCAGCAGUGGGGAAUAUUGCACAAUGGGCGCAAGCCUGAUGCAGCCAUGCNGCGUGUAUGAAGAAGGCCUUCGGGUUGUAAAGUACUUUCAGCGGGGAGGAAGGGAGUAAAGUUAAUACCUUUGCUCAUUGACGUUACCCGCAGAAGAAGCACCGGCUAACUCCGUGCCAGCAGCCGCGGUAAUACGGAGGGUGCAAGCGUUAAUCGGAAUUACUGGGCGUAAAGCGCACGCAGGCGGUUUGUUAAGUCAGAUGUGAAAUCCCCGGGCUCAACCUGGGAACUGCAUCUGAUACUGGCAAGCUUGAGUCUCGUAGAGGGGGGUAGAAUUCCAGGUGUAGCGGUGAAAUGCGUAGAGAUCUGGAGGAAUACCGGUGGCGAAGGCGGCCCCCUGGACGAAGACUGACGCUCAGGUGCGAAAGCGUGGGGAGCAAACAGGAUUAGAUACCCAGGUAGUCCACGCCGUAAACGAUGUCGACUUGGAGGUUGUGCCCUUGAGGCGUGGCUUCCGGANNUAACGCGUUAAGUCGACCGCCUGGGGAGUACGGCCGCAAGGUUAAAACUCAAAUGAAUUGACGGGGGCCGCACAAGCGGUGGAGCAUGUGGUUUAAUUCGAUGCAACGCGAAGAACCUUACCUGGUC